rnacentral:pre_miRNA from 1 species
CAUCCCUGUCCUCAAGGAGCUUCAGUCUAGUAGGGGAUAAGACAUACUAGACUGUGAGCUCCUCGAGGGCAGGAAAA